CAUUUGCCAAGCGCGUCUUCAUUAAUCAAGAACGAAAGUCAGAGGUUCGAAGGCGAUCAGAUACCGCCCUAGUUCUGACCGUAAACGAUGCCAACUAGCGAUCCGCCGGUGGCCCUAUGGCCCUGGUGGGGAGCUUCCCGGAAACGAAAGUCUUCCGGUUCCGGGGGAAGUAUGGUUGCAAAGCUGAAACUUAAAGGAAUUGACGGAAGGGCACCACCAGAGGUGGAGCCUGCGGCUUAAUUUGACUCAACACGGGAAAACUCACCCGGCCCGGACACCGUGAGGAUUGACAGAUUGAUAGCUUUUUCAUGAUUCGGUGGUUGGUGGUGCAUGGCCGUUCUUAGUUCGUGGAUCGAUUUGUCUGGUUUAUUCCGAUAACGAGCGAGACUCCAGCCUACUAAAUAGUGCUAGCAUUGCUACUGUGCCAUGCACUUCUUAGAGGGAUUGGCUGCGUCUAGCGGCACGAAACGGAGCAAUAACAGGUCUGUGAUGCCCUUAGAUGUCCGGGGCUGCACGCGCGCUACACUGGCAAAGGCAACGUGCUUGUCCGUCUCCGAAAGGAGCCGGUAAACCCUUGAAAAUUUGCCGUGAUUGGGAUCGGAAAUUGCAAUUAUUUUCCGUGAACGAGGAAUCUCUAGUAAGUGCGAGUCAUCAGCUCGCGUUGAUUACGUCCCUGCCCUUUGUACACACCGCCCGUCGCUGCCUAGAACUGAGCCAUUUCGAGAAUAUUCGGGAUCGCCGGUUACGGGUCCUUCACGGGACACGUCUCUGGCCUGAGAACGAACGUAAUCGCAGUGGCUUGAACCGGGCAAAAGU
rnacentral:rRNA from 1 species